rnacentral:rRNA from 1 species
UACGGAGGGUGCAAGCGUUAUCCGGAUUCACUGGGUUUAAAGGGUGCGUAGGCGGGUUAUUAAGUCAGUGGUGAAAGCUUGCAGCUUAACUGUAAAAUUGCCAUUGAAACUGAUAAUCUUGAAUAUGGUUGAGGUAGUUGGAAUGUAUCAUGUAGCGGUGAAAUGCUUAGAUAUGAUACAGAACACCGAUUGCGAAGGCAGAUUACUAAACCAUUAUUGACGCUGAGGCACGAAAGCGUGGGGAUCAAACAGG